rnacentral:rRNA from 1 species
GACGAACGCUGGCGGCGUGCUUAACACAUGCAAGUCGAACGGAAAGGCCCUGCUUUUGUGGGGUGCUCGAGUGGCGAACGGGUGAGUAACACGUGAGUUACCUGCCCUUGACUUUGGGAUAACUUCAGGAAACUGGGGCUAAUACCGGAUAGGAGCUCCUGCUGCAUGGUGGGGGUUGGAAAGUUUCGGCGGUUGGGGAUGGACUCGCGGCUUAUCAGCUUGUUGGUGGGGUAGUGGCUUACCAAGGCUUUGACGGGUAGCCGGCCUGAGAGGGUGACCGGCCACAUUGGGACUGAGAUACGGCCCAGACUCCUACGGGAGGCAGCAGUGGGGAAUAUUGCACAAUGGGCGGAAGCCUGAUGCAGCAACGCCGCGUGCGGGAUGACGGCCUUCGGGUUGUAAACCGCUUUCGCCUGUGACGAAGCGUGAGUGACGGUAAUGGGUAAAGAAGCACCGGCUAACUACGUG